rnacentral:rRNA from 1 species
CAGUAGCCGCGGGAAUACGUAGGGUGCAAGCGUUAAUCGGAAUUACUGGGCGUAAAGCGUGCGCAGGCGGUUUGUUAAGACAGGUGUGAAAUCCCCGGGCUUAACCUGGGCACUGCGCUUGUGACUGCACAGCUAGGGUAUGGCAGAGGGGGGUGGAAUUCCACGUGUAGCAGUGAAAUGCGUAGAGAUGUGGAGGAACACCGAUGGCGAAGGCAGCCCCCUGGGCCAAUACUGACGCUCAUGCACGAAAGCGUGGGGAGCAAACAGGAUUAGAUACCCCAGUAGUCCCUGUCUCUUAUAC